GACGAACGCUGGCGGCGUGCUUAACACAUGCAAGUCGAGCGGUAAGGCCCUUUCGGGGGUACGACGAGCGGCGAACGGGUGAGUAACACGUGGGUGACCUGCCCUCCAGCUCUGGGAGUAAGCCUGGGAAACCGGGGUACGUAAUACCGGAUAUGACUCCAUGACGCAUGUUGUGGGGUGGAAAGCCUUGUGCGGCUGAGGAUGGGCCCGCGGCCUAUCAGCUUGUUGGUGGGGUGGAUGGCCUACCAAGGCGACGACGGGUAGCCGG
rnacentral:rRNA from 1 species